rnacentral:rRNA from 1 species
UUUAUGAGAGUUUGAUCCUGGCUCAGGAUGAACGCUGGCGGCGUGGAUAAGGCAUGCAAGUCGAACGAUGCAAGGUAGCAAUACUUUGCAUAGUGGCGAACGAGUUAGUAACACCUUGGUACAUACCUCGAAGUCGGGCACAACUAGUCGAAAGAUUAGCUAAUUCCCGAUAGUCUCGCAAGAGUAAAGUCGCAAGACGCUUUGAGAGUGGCCUAGGUCCUAUCAGCUUGUUGGCGGGGUAAAAGCCCACCAAGGCUAUGACGGGUAGGGGGCGUGAGAGCGCGACCCUCAACGACGAAACUGAGAUACGGUUCGUACACCUACGGGUGGCAGCAGUCGAGAAUAUUCGACAAUGGGCGA